AACGAACGCUGGCGGCAUGCCUAACACAUGCAAGUCGAACGAGACCUUCGGGUCUAGUGGCGCACGGGUGCGUAACGCGUGGGAACCUGCCCUUAGGUUCGGAAUAACUCCCCGAAAGGGGUGCUAAUACCGGAUAAUGUCUUCGGACCAAAGAUUUAUCGCCUUUGGAUGGGCCCGCGUUGGAUUAGCUAGUUGGUAGGGUAAAAGCCUACCAAGGCGACGAUCCAUAGCUGGUCUGAGAGGAUGAUCGGCCACACUGGGACUGAGACACGGCCCAGACUCCUACGGGAAGCAGCAGUGGGGAAUGUUGGACAAUGGGCGAAAGCCUGAUCCAGCAAUGCCGCGUGAGUGAUGAAGGCCUUAGGGUUGUAAAGCUCUUUUACCCGGGAUGAUAAUGACAGUACCGGGAGAAUAAGCGCCGGCUAACUCCGUG
rnacentral:rRNA from 1 species